rnacentral:lncRNA from 1 species
GCCAAGUGUGAAUUGAUUCCACUUGAGCAUAUUGAUUGAUAUUGUAGUAGAUUUCUCUAUAAUCUUGAUUCUCUAUGCUUGAUUAUUCUGUACAUGCAUUUGAGGGAACAUUGAGAGGAAUUACGAGGGGUUGAUGAGUAAUCAAAUUGAUUCCGAAUUGUGAAAUGAUUUCUUUUGUAAAUUGAUUUCAUUUCCUCUAUUUCAAAGACUUGUGAGUGGUAGCCUUGAUUAUACUCUUUUAUGAGUAGUUAAAUUGGAUCUGAAUUGUGAAAUGAUUUCUUUUGUAAAUUGAUUUCAUUUCCUCUAUUUCAAAGACUUGUAAGUGGUAGCCUUGAUUAUACUCCUUUAUGAGUAAUUAAAUUGGAUCUGAAUUGUGAAAUGACUUCUUUUGUAAAUUGAUUUCAUUUCCUCUAUUUCAAAGAUUUGUAGAGCCCAUUUCAGUGGUAUAUUGAGUUGUAUUGCACUUCCUUGACCCUCACUCCUAACCCUGAUGUUAGUUUAUGAUUGGGUCAUGAUCGAGUGAGUGGUAGUCUUGAUCAUACUCCUUUUUAGUAGAGUAUUGGGAGGGUGCAUUAUGGCAUUU